UGGGGAAUAUUGCACAAUGGGCGCAAGCCUGAUGCAGCCAUGCCGCGUGUAUGAAGAAGGCCUUCGGGUUGUAAAGUACUUUCAGCGGGGAGGAAGGCGAUGUGGUUAAUAACCGCGUCGAUUGACGUUACCCGCAGAAGAAGCACCGGCUAACUCCGUGCCGGCAGCCGCGGUAAUACGGAGGGUGCAAGCGUUAAUCGGAAUUACUGGGCGUAAAGCGCACGCAGGCGGUCUGUCAAGUCGGAUGUGAAAUCCCCGGGCUCAACCUGGGAACUGCAUCCGAAACUGGCAGGCUUGAGUCUCGUAGAGGGGGGUAGAAUUCCAGGUGUAGCGGUGAAAUGCGUAGAGAUCUGGAGGAAUACCGGUGGCGAAGGCGGCCCCCUGGACGAAGACUGACGCUCAGGUGCGAAAGCGUGGGGAGCAAACA
rnacentral:rRNA from 1 species